UCAGGGCCAAUGAUCUGGGCAGAGAACGAGGGGAGUUUCAGUUCUGACGUCUCUGGCGCCCGUUACAAAUACCAGCCUGGCGUUCUCCACCCCACGUGGAGCAAGUUCCCCAGCGGGUGUGUCAUGCCACUUGGGAUGGCCAGCUCUACUCCGGGAGGUUUAGCAUUGCGAUGGAAUCAGGCCCUCCAAGGCUGCUACUCCCUGCCCGCACCCUCUCAGGCUCUGGUCUCUAGGUUGUCUCUGACUGAGGGACACAAGGAGACACUUGCAUAUCAUCAAUAAUAAUUCUCUUACCUUUGUCAACCCUGAACACAGAUCUUAUGGGUGUUUCUCCAGUUUACCUGAAAGGCAGGCAGAACACAAAUGAAUAUGUGGUCACUGCUCUAAGGUGAAUGUGCAGGAUCAGGGUCUCCAACAGCAGAGUUAGACAUGUGAGG